rnacentral:rRNA from 1 species
CAGUCGCCACGGGAAUACGUAGGGUGCGAGCGUUAAUCGGAAUUACUGGGCGUAAAGCGUGCGCAGGCGGUUCGUUAAGACAGAUGUGAAAUCCCCGGGCUUAACCUGGGAACUGCAUUUGUGACUGGCGAGCUAGAGUAUGGCAGAGGGGGGUAGAAUUCCACGUGUAGCAGUGAAAUGCGUAGAGAUGUGGAGGAAUACCGAUGGCGAAGGCAGCCCCCUGGGCCAAUACUGACGCUCAUGCACGAAAGCGUGGGGAGCAAACAGGAUUAGAUACCCCUGUAGUCCCUGUCUCUUAUAC